rnacentral:rRNA from 2 species
AUAUUUAAGUUGCUGCAGUUAAAAAGCUCGUAGUUGGAUUUCGGAUGGGUACCGUCGGUCCGCCGUUUCGGUGUGUUACUGGCGGCGCCCAUCUUGCUGUCGGGGACGGGCUCCUGGGCUUAACUGUCCGGGACUCGGAGUCGACGAGGUUACUUUGAGUAAAUUAGAGUGUUCAAAGCAGGCCUACGCUCUGAAUACAUUAGCAUGGAAUAACACGAUAGGACUCUGGCCUAUCUUGUUGGUCUGUAGGACCGGAGUAAUGAUUAAGAGGGACAGUCGGGGGCAUUCGUAUUUCAUUGUCA